UACGGGGGGGGCAAGCGUUGUUCGGAAUUACUGGGCGUAAAGGGCUCGUAGGCGGCCAACUAAGUCAGACGUGAAAUCCCUCGGCUUAACCGGGGAACUGCGUCUGAUACUGGAUGGCUUGAGUUUGGGAGAGGGAUGCGGAAUUCCAGGUGUAGCGGUGAAAUGCGUAGAUAUCUGGAGGAACACCGGUGGCGAAGGCGGCCUUCUGGACAGUGACUGACGCUGAGACGCGAAAGCGUGGGGAGCAAACAGG
rnacentral:rRNA from 1 species